ACCAAAGACGUCAUCAGUGCAAAUUCGCGUGAGGGUCACGAGAAAAAUCCCAGACAAAGAAAACAAAUAACCGUCAAGUAAUGGACCAAAAUGUCUAAAUAACGUUUUUCUGAUACAGCUAUUUACAAUGUAAGAGGGAGGCGUCACCAUAGCAAACUUUGUACCCUCGUCCUUGCUUGCAUGUGGCAUACCGAAAGUGCUUUUUUUUGUCAUGCGAUGGUGUUGCACUUGAAUAAAAUAAUGAAAUAAAGUAUACUUACAUGG
rnacentral:sRNA from 1 species